rnacentral:rRNA from 1 species
UACAGAGGUCUCAACCGUUGUUCGGAUUCAUUGGGCGUAAAGGGUGCGUAGGUGGCGAGGCAAGUCGGAUGUGAAAUCCCGGGGCUCAACCCCGGAACUGCAUUCGAUACUGCUUUGCUAGAGUACUGGAGAGGAGAUUGGAAUUUACGGUGUAGCAGUGAAAUGCGUAGAUAUCGUAAGGAAGACCAGUGGCGAAGGCGGAUCUCUGGACAGUUACUGA